rnacentral:rRNA from 1 species
CCUACGGGAGGCAGCAGUGGGGAAUUUAGGACAAUGGGCGCAAGCCUGAUCCAGCAAUGCCGCGUGCAGGAUGAAGGCCUUCGGGUUGUAAACUGCUUUUGUACGGAACGAAACGGCGAGCUCUAAUACAGUUUGCUAAUGACGGUACCGUAAGAAUAAGCACCGGCUAACUACGUGCCAGCAGCCGCGGUAAUACGUAGGGUGCGAGCGUUAAUCGGAAUUACUGGGCGUAAAGCGUGCGCAGGCGGUGAUGUAAGACAGAUGUGAAAUCCCCGGGCUCAACCUGGGACCUGCAUUUGUGACUGCAUCGCUAGAGUACGGUAGAGGGGGAUGGAAUUCCGCGUGUAGCAGUGAAAUGCGUAGAUAUGCGGAGGAACACCGAUGGCGAAGGCAAUCCCCUGGACCUGUACUGACGCUCAUGCACGAAAGCGUGGGGAGCAAACAGGAUUAGAUACCCUGGUAGUCCACGCCCUAAACGAUGUCAACUGGUUGUUGGGUCUUCACUGACUCAGUAACGAAGCUAACGCGUGAAGUUGACCGCCUGGGGAGUACGGCCGCAAGGUUGAAACUCAAAUGAAUUGACGG